rnacentral:rRNA from 1 species
UACGUAGGGGGCAAGCGUUGUCCGGAUUUAUUGGGCGUAAAGAGCGUGUAGGCGGCCAGACAGGUCCGUUGUGAAAACUCGAGGCUCAACCUCGAGACGUCGACGGAAACCGUAUGGCUAGAGUCCGGAAGAGGAGAGUGGAAUUCCUGGUGUAGCGGUGAAAUGCGCAGAUAUCAGGAAGAACACCAAUGGCGAAGGCAGCUCUCUGGGACGGUACUGACGCUGAGACGCGAAAGCGUGGGGAGCGAACAGG